rnacentral:rRNA from 1 species
UACGAAGGGGGCUAGCGUUGCUCGGAAUCACUGGGCGUAAAGCGCACGUAGGCGGACUCUUAAGUCGGUGGUGAAAUCCUGGAGCUCAACUCCAGAACUGCCUUCGAUACUGAGAGCCUCGAGUCCGGGAGAGGUGAGUGGAACUGCGAGUGUAGAGGUGAAAUUCGUAGAUAUUCGCAAGAACACCGGUGGCGAAGGCGGCACACUGGCCCGGUACUGACGCUGAGGUGCGAAAGCCUGGGGAGCAAACAGG